rnacentral:tRNA from 1 species
GCACCCAUAGCUCAGUAGGAUAGAGCGGCGCCCUCCUAAGGCGUAGGUCAGGGGUUCGAUUCCUCUUGGGUGCGCCA